rnacentral:rRNA from 1 species
GAUGAACGCUGGCGGCGUGCUUAACACAUGCAAGUCGAACGGUGAAGCUGGAGCUUGCUCCAGUGGAUCAGUGGCGAACGGGUGAGUAACACGUGAGUAACCUGCCCUUGACUCUGGGAUAAGCGUUGGAAACGACGUCUAAUACCGGAUACGAGCUUCAGUCGCAUGGACUAGGAGCUGGAAAGAAUUUCGGUCAAGGAUGGACUCGCGGCCUAUCAGCUAGUUGGUGAGGUAACGGCCCACCAAGGCGACGACGGGUAGCCGGCCUGAGAGGGUGACCGGCCACACUGGGACUGAGACACGGCCCAGACUCCUACGGGAGGCAG